ACUUAAAUUGAAGAGUUUGAUCAUGGCUCAGAUUGAACGCUGGCGGCAGGCCUAACACAUGCAAGUCGAGCGGUAGCACAGAGAGCUUGCUCUCGGGUGACGAGCGGCGGACGGGUGAGUAAUGUCUGGGAAACUGCCUGAUGGAGGGGGAUAACUACUGGAAACGGUAGCUAAUACCGCAUAACGUCGCAAGACCAAAGUGGGGGACCUUCGGGCCUCAUGCCAUCAGAUGUGCCCAGAUGGGAUUAGCUAGUAGGUGGGGUAACGGCUCACCUAGGCGACGAUCCCUAGCUGGUCUGAGAGGAUGACCAGCCACACUGGAACUGAGACACGGUCCAGACUCCUACGGGAGGCAGCAGUGGGGAAUAUUGCACAAUGGGCGCAAGCCUGAUGCAGCCAUGCCGCGUGUGUGAAGAAGGCCUUCGGGUUGUAAAGCACUUUCAGCGGGGAGGAAGGCGUUAAGGUUAAUAACCAUCGAUUGACGUUACCCGCAGAAGAAGCACCGGCUAACUCCGUGCCAGCAGCCGCGGUAAUACGGAGGGUGCAAGCGUUAAUCGGAAUUACUGGGCGUAAAGCGCACGCAGGCGGUCUGUCAAGUCGGAUGUGAAAUCCCCGGGCUCAACCUGGGAACUGCAUUCGAAACUGGCAGGCUAGAGUCUUGUAGAGGGGGGUAGAAUUCCAGGUGUAGCGGUGAAAUGCGUAGAGAUCUGGAGGAAUACCGGUGGCGAAGGCGGCCCCCUGGACAAAGACUGACGCUCAGGUGCGAAAGCGUGGGGAGCAAACAGGAUUAGAUACCCUGGUAGUCCACGCCGUAAACGAUGUCGAUUUGGAGGUUGUGCCCUUGAGGCGUGGCUUCCGGAGCUAACGCGUUAAAUCGACCGCCUGGGGAGUACGGCCGCAAGGUUAAAACUCAAAUGAAUUGACGGGGGCCCGCACAAGCGGUGGAGCAUGUGGUUUAAUUCGAUGCAACGCGAAGAACCUUACCUGGUCUUGACAUCCACAGAACUUUCCAGAGAUGGAUUGGUGCCUUCGGGAACUGUGAGACAGGUGCUGCAUGGCUGUCGUCAGCUCGUGUUGUGAAAUGUUGGGUUAAGUCCCGCAACGAGCGCAACCCUUAUCCUUUGUUGCCAGCGGUCGGCCGGGAACUCAAAGGAGACUGCCAGUGAUAAACUGGAGGAAGGUGGGGAUGACGUCAAGUCAUCAUGGCCCUUACGACCAGGGCUACACACGUGCUACAAUGGCAUAUACAAAGAGAAGCGACCUCGCGAGAGCAAGCGGACCUCAUAAAGUAUGUCGUAGUCCGGAUUGGAGUCUGCAACUCGACUCCAUGAAGUCGGAAUCGCUAGUAAUCGUAGAUCAGAAUGCUACGGUGAAUACGUUCCCGGGCCUUGUACACACCGCCCGUCACACCAUGGGAGUGGGUUGCAAAAGAAGUAGGUAGCUUAACCUUCGGGAGGGCGCUUACCACUUUGUGAUUCAUGACUGGGGUGAAGUCGUAACAAGGUAACCGUAGGGGAACCUGCGGUUGGAUCACCUCCUUACCUUAAAGAA
rnacentral:rRNA from 1 species